GAGUAAAGAUUUCGGUCGCUUUGGGAGGAGCUCGCUUACUAUCAGCUUGUUGGUAGGGUAAUGGCCUACCAAGGCUAUGACGGUUAGGGGGUGUGAGAGCAUGACCCCCAGCAUUGGCACUGAAACACUGGCCAAACACCUACGGGUGGCUGCAGUCGAGAAUCUUCCACAAUGGGGGAAACCCUGAUGGAGCGAUGCUGCGUGCGGGAUGAAGGCCUUCGAGUUGUAAACCGCUUUUGUAGGGGACGAAAUUUUUGACGGUACCCUUUCGAAUAAGAGGUUGCUAACUCUGUGCCAGCAGCAGCGGUAAUACAGAGACCUCAAGCGUUAUCCGGAUUUACUGGGCGUAAAGCGUCUGUAGGGGGUUUAUUAAGUUCCAAGUAAAAUUUCAAGGCUCAACUUUGAAUUCGCUUGGAAAACUAAUAAACUGGAGUCUAGCAGAGGUGCAUGGAACUUGUGGUGUAGGAGUGAAAUCCGUUGAUAUCACAAGGAACACCAAAAGGCGAAGGCAUUGCACUGGGCUAGCACUGACCCUGAGAGACGAAAGCGUGGGGAGCAAAACGGAUUAGAUACCCGUGUAGUCCACGCCCUAAACGAUGAAUGCUAAAUGUUCGGGGAUUCGACCCCCUGGGUGUUACAGCUAACGCGUUAAGCAUUCCGCCUGGGAAGUACGGCCGCAAGGCUAAAACUCAAAGGAAUAGACGGGGAUCCGCACAAGCGGUGGAGCGUCUGGUUUAAUUCGACAGUAAGCGUGGUACCUCACCAGGGUUUGACAUCCCUUGACAGCCUUGGAAACAAGGUUUCCUUCGGGCAAGGUGACAGGUGCUGCAUGGUCGUCGUCAGUUCGUGCCGUGAGGUGUUCCGUUAAGUCGGGAAACGAACGAAACCCCUAUUGCAUGUUACAAUUUCUCAUGCAAGACUGCCCGGAUAUACUGGGAGGAAGGUGGGGAUGACGUCAGAUCUGCAUGGUCCUUAUACCCUGGGCGACACAGGCGCUACAAUGGCAGAGACAAAGGGUUGCAAAACCGCAAGGUGAAGCUAAUCCCAAAAACUUUGUCUAAGUUCGGAUUGAAGGCUGCAAUUCGCCUUCAUGAAGCUGGAAUCGCUAGUAAUCGUGAAUCAGCCACGUCACGGUGAAUAUGUUCCCGGAUCUUGUACUCACCGCCCGUCACACCAAGAGAGUUGGUAGCUCC
rnacentral:rRNA from 1 species